AUUUGGGCUGGCGAGAAAGGCACCUAUGCCUUACAGUGUGGCAGGACACACUAUUUGAUUUCCCAUUGGCCAGAGAUUUCCUAAACCUUGUCAUGCGUUCAGACCAUGGUCCCAUCCCACAGACCGAGCAGUGUCAUCAGUGGCCCAUCUCCAGAGUGCCCUGACUUCCUCCCCAUUCUUCCUCCCAAAAAGGUGCCCUUAGGAAGAAGAGAACUCAUUCUGCUGCAUCCCUUGAAGCAGAGUUCACCAGGCCGAGCUGUCCUUUGGGCCUAACCUUCUCACGGCCAAGGCCCUCUUCAGCACUGGCAGCCCUGUGACCUGGGAUGCCGUUUCAGAGCCCGAACCAUCCUGGCACAUUUCAGGUGCCCUUAGGAAGAAGAGAACUCAUUCUGCUGCAUCCCUUGAAGCAGAGUUCACCAGGCCGAGCUGUCCUUUGGGCCUAACCUUCUCACGGCCAAGGCCCUCUUCAGCACUGGCAGCCCUGUGACCUGGGAUGCCGUUUCAGAGCCCGAACCAUCCUGGCACAUUUCAGGUGCCCUUAGGAAGAAGAGAACUCAUUCUGCUGCAUCCCUUGAAGCAGAGUUCACCAGGCCGAGCUGUCCUUUGGGCCUAACCUUCUCACGGCCAAGGCCCUCUUCAGCACUGGCAGCCCUGUGACCUGGGAUGCCGUUUCAGAGCCCGAACCAUCCUGGCACAUUUCAGGUGCCCUUAGGAAGAAGAGAACUCAUUCUGCUGCAUCCCUUGAAGCAGAGUUCACCAGGCCGAGCUGUCCUUUGGGCCUAACCUUCUCACGGCCAAGGCCCUCUUCAGCACUGGCAGCCCUGUGACCUGGGAUGCCGUUUCAGAGCCCGAACCAUCCUGGCACAUUUCAGGUGCCCUUAGGAAGAAGAGAACUCAUUCUGCUGCAUCCCUUGAAGCAGAGUUCACCAGGCCGAGCUGUCCUUUGGGCCUAACCUUCUCACGGCCAAGGCCCUCUUCAGCACUGGCAGCCCUGUGACCUGGGAUGCCGUUUCAGAGCCCGAACCAUCCUGGCACAUUUCAGGUGCCCUUAGGAAGAAGAGAACUCAUUCUGCUGCAUCCCUUGAAGCAGAGUUCACCAGGCCGAGCUGUCCUUUGGGCCUAACCUUCUCACGGCCAAGGCCCUCUUCAGCACUGGCAGCCCUGUGACCUGGGAUGCCGUUUCAGAGCCCGAACCAUCCUGGCACAUUUCAGGUGCCCUUAGGAAGAAGAGAACUCAUUCUGCUGCAUCCCUUGAAGCAGAGUUCACCAGGCCGAGCUGUCCUUUGGGCCUAACCUUCUCACGGCCAAGGCCCUCUUCAGCACUGGCAGCCCUGUGACCUGGGAUGCCGUUUCAGAGCCCGAACCAUCCUGGCACAUUUCAGGUGCCCUUAGGAAGAAGAGAACUCAUUCUGCUGCAUCCCUUGAAGCAGAGUUCACCAGGCCGAGCUGUCCUUUGGGCCUAACCUUCUCACGGCCAAGGCCCUCUUCAGCACUGGCAGCCCUGUGACCUGGGAUGCCGUUUCAGAGCCCGAACCAUCCUGGCACAUUUCAGGUGCCCUUAGGAAGAAGAGAACUCAUUCUGCUGCAUCCCUUGAAGCAGAGUUCACCAGGCCGAGCUGUCCUUUGGGCCUAACCUUCUCACGGCCAAGGCCCUCUUCAGCACUGGCAGCCCUGUGACCUGGGAUGCCGUUUCAGAGCCCGAACCAUCCUGGCACAUUUCAGGUGCCCUUAGGAAGAAGAGAACUCAUUCUGCUGCAUCCCUUGAAGCAGAGUUCACCAGGCCGAGCUGUCCUUUGGGCCUAACCUUCUCACGGCCAAGGCCCUCUUCAGCACUGGCAGCCCUGUGACCUGGGAUGCCGUUUCAGAGCCCGAACCAUCCUGGCACAUUUCAGGUGCCCUUAGGAAGAAGAGAACUCAUUCUGCUGCAUCCCUUGAAGCAGAGUUCACCAGGCCGAGCUGUCCUUUGGGCCUAACCUUCUCACGGCCAAGGCCCUCUUCAGCACUGGCAGCCCUGUGACCUGGGAUGCCGUUUCAGAGCCCGAACCAUCCUGGCACAUUUCAGGUGCCCUUAGGAAGAAGAGAACUCAUUCUGCUGCAUCCCUUGAAGCAGAGUUCACCAGGCCGAGCUGUCCUUUGGGCCUAACCUUCUCACGGCCAAGGCCCUCUUCAGCACUGGCAGCCCUGUGACCUGGGAUGCCGUUUCAGAGCCCGAACCAUCCUGGCACAUUUCAGGUGCCCUUAGGAAGAAGAGAACUCAUUCUGCUGCAUCCCUUGAAGCAGAGUUCACCAGGCCGAGCUGUCCUUUGGGCCUAACCUUCUCACGGCCAAGGCCCUCUUCAGCACUGGCAGCCCUGUGACCUGGGAUGCCGUUUCAGAGCCCGAACCAUCCUGGCACAUUUCAGGUGCCCUUAGGAAGAAGAGAACUCAUUCUGCUGCAUCCCUUGAAGCAGAGUUCACCAGGCCGAGCUGUCCUUUGGGCCUAACCUUCUCACGGCCAAGGCCCUCUUCAGCACUGGCAGCCCUGUGACCUGGGAUGCCGUUUCAGAGCCCGAACCAUCCUGGCACAUUUCAGGUGCCCUUAGGAAGAAGAGAACUCAUUCUGCUGCAUCCCUUGAAGCAGAGUUCACCAGGCCGAGCUGUCCUUUGGGCCUAACCUUCUCACGGCCAAGGCCCUCUUCAGCACUGGCAGCCCUGUGACCUGGGAUGCCGUUUCAGAGCCCGAACCAUCCUGGCACAUUUCAGGUGCCCUUAGGAAGAAGAGAACUCAUUCUGCUGCAUCCCUUGAAGCAGAGUUCACCAGGCCGAGCUGUCCUUUGGGCCUAACCUUCUCACGGCCAAGGCCCUCUUCAGCACUGGCAGCCCUGUGACCUGGGAUGCCGUUUCAGAGCCCGAACCAUCCUGGCACAUUUCAGUGAUCUGGGAUGCCCUCUUUGACCCCACAGCAUCGCAGUUUUCAGGUACAAUGAAAUAUAAGGCCUAUAACUUGUGUUUAGAAAGGCCAACGGUUCUCCUCCACCCUUUAGAAUUUCUGUCUAGUUCUAAUGACAUUCGAAUCAUCCCACCCAUGCUAGGGGUGGUUUCUGUACAUCACCUACCACGUAGGCCUAUGUGUCAGGAACUGGAGAUACAAUUUAUCUUGCUUGGGUAAAUUCUAAGACACUUGGACAUAAGCAACUGAUCAGGUAAAAGAAAAAGAGGAUUAUGCAUAGCUAUAGUUGGGAUAGCCUUGAGGUGGCCAUGCUAAGGGGAUGUAGGAAUUUACCAUUAACUUUCAUGCCUACUCUUUAACAUCUGCUUCCAAUCACACUGGCAAUGGAGAAGACCAACACUUCAAGGGCUUAUUGUGACAAUAGUCAUCCAAACUACAAACGUGGAAGACUCCUCAUAAAGAGUUGCCAGAUUGGCAGCCCUAGAACACAUCAGAGAUACCAAUAUCACUUCUCAGGUCAAUUGGACACACUGAUAACUAGAAAAUUCUGGUGGUGGACUGUGGUUCUGGGUAUCCUUGACUAUAAGCCCUUCAUUUGGGAUUUAGUGAUCAAUCUCCAAACCUGCAGGCAGCACAAACUGUGGUAGGCAAGUGCAUCACAACAGGCAUUCUCUUUGGGACCUCAAAGCCAUGAGACAGAAUAAAAUUAGCAGAACAAGAUGCAGAGUCAUUUAAAGACCUUCUAGUACUGUCAAAUAUCAGCUAGCUAGUGUUAACAGUGAAAUGAGUGAGUAGUAGGGUGAGUGGAGCGGCCAUUUGUGCUUUCCUUGCCCUUGCUAAUAUUUAUCCAUACAUUAAUGUGUGUGCUGGGCCUCAUGUAAUUCAGGAUCAAGGUUCUGGAGGUCUUUCUGCUCAAUGGCACUAUGCAUUGAUGAUUUGAUAUAGGGCACACAAAACCCACUCUCAAAUGUUCCUUCUUCCUGGUCACCUUUCACAUUGCCAGCAGGUACUUGUUCAGAAAGUAAGCAAAUUGUCUACUGCACAAUCAUACUCUUUCAAAACACAGCUUACCCAGGUUUUGUCUGGCUGUGGAAAUAUUCAUCUUUUAAAAGAUGACUUGUCUGGAUCAAUAAUGAAAACAACUCUCUGAAGAUGGUGAAUAACUCAUACAAAUGGCAAUCAGAGGUUCAGAAAUGAGUCCUUCAAAUAAGACAAAUAAGAUUUUCAUAGUCUGCCUUUGCCUCAUGAGCCACUGGUGAAGUCCUCUAACCACUAUGUGUGGGUUUUGUCUCCUAGCUUUUGAGGUAAUGUGUAUAGUAAUUUUGUCUAGUGACCAAGAUUUGCAUCAUUCUUCUUACCGUGAAUGGAGCUGCUGACACUUUCAUCAAGGAAAUUUAUAACAAAUAGGAACAAUGGAAAUACGGAAUCAAAAGCAGGGCAAGGAACUGGAAUAUACGCUGACAGUCAUACUAGCAUUUCAAAAACAAUAUUGCUUUCCUGUUAGGUAAGUAUAAUGGAACAUACUUUUUACAUCUUAUAUUAGUAUUAAGGAUUUUUAGGCAAUUUCUUUUCUUUUUUAUUGUUUUAGUGAUCUAAGACUGGAAAAUUCAGUUCAGAUAACAUAGAAUCCCUCUUCUCUCUCUUUGACUGGACUCCUGGAGCUGGACCUGUUAUUUGGCUGUGGAUCUCUGCAUCUGCUUCCAUCAGUUACUGGAGAAAGGCUCUAUGAUGACAGAGUACUCACCGAUGUGAUUACUGGGAUAAGCCAGUUCAGGUCACAUUUUAAAGGAUUACAAAAUGCCUAUCUCUUAAUGUUAUUGCAUUUAUUAGAAUAGCUUUGGCCAGCUCUGGUGGCACAUACCUUUAAUUCCAACACUUGGAAUCCAAAGGUUGGUGGGUCUCUGUGAGUUGGAGGUCAGCCUGCUCUACAUGGUGAAUUCUAGAUGAACCAUGAAUUCAUAAUGAGACCAUAAACAAAGAAUAAUACUUUUUAUUGUGAUAUUUAUACAGAAGAUAUCAGGAAGUCUUUUACUUUCAGAUUUAUUAUUUUUAAUUUUUGCAGUGUUGAGAUAAAAUAUAAGGCAUUACACAUUCUAGGCAAGCAGUCUACCUUUGAACUUUGUAUCUGAUUCCCUUUCCACUUUCAUUAACCAUUUUUGUAGGGCUGGGAAUCAAACCAAAGGCUUUAUUCACCCUAGGCAAGCAAUCAACUACUGAGCCAAAGGCUCUGUUCAUUUAACAUUUUGCAUAAGGCAGGUCACUUUUUAUCAUCUUAACUUUUAGGAAGAGAAAGGGUAGUCUGCAAAGUCUCUCUUUUGUUUCUGAAGGACAGUUAUAUUAGGCAUAGUAAUUCUUGGUUGGCAGCACCCCCCCCCCCCCAUUUAAUAGCUUGAAUAUGGAUUCAUUUAGGGGUGACUGGAACAUAGAAACUGAUCUAAUUAGUGUAUUAAACCUAAUUAGUGGGUUAAUCUGAAGGUAUUAUUGAGGAAUGUUAGGUGGAACAAAUAUGUCAUUGGGGCUGUGAUCUGGAGGUCUAAGCCUUGUCUUUGGCCUUUCCAAAACAAUGGAGGCAGUAGAUCAUUGACUGAAACCCCAAAUACCAUGAGUCAAAACAGAUGUUUCCUCUUUUUAAACUGUUCAAGUAUUCAUCACAGAAUUGAAAAGCUAAAAUAUUCUUUAGCAUUUUAAAUACCAUCCUACUUUCUCAAGGCAUGAUGUUUCUGUUGGGAUAUAUGCUACAUAUAUGAGAAGACUCUUAUAUACUAUUUGUUUUCAACAUUCUCAUUUUUUUCUUGAUGCACGUGCGUACGUGUGUGUGUGUGUGUGUGUGUGUGUGUGUGUGUGUGUGUAAAACACAAGAUUACAAUUAUGUCCUGGGGCAUAAUAUAUAGAUUAAACCCUGAGACUGGUGAACUUCCUAUACCUGGAUAUCUUUCUGCUAGUAUGGGAAGUUUCCUGUCAUGAAUACUUGUCUCUAAACCUUUCUCUUUAUUUUAUCUUGAACACAAAUCAUUCAAACAUUUUUCCUGUUAUAACAUUUGUGCUUUUAAUUUAAUCCAGGGAAUUGGGUAAGCAAAACAAACGUGCCAACUUCAAGCUCAAACAUUUGCCUUUUAAUAGUGUCCCACCAAUCCCACAAGCUUUUUUUAACUCCUUGUUCAUUUUUCUCUUAUCUCUAUAUAUUUUCAGAUAUAUUAAUUAAUCAUCUAUGUAAAAUUUUUCAUUUUUUAACAACUUGUCAUUUCACUGAUGUUAUUUUCCAGCUAAUUUUGUUUACUAUUAUUUCAUUCUUUUAUCCUUCCAGUCAUUUAUUGUUUCUUAUUUUGAAUUCUCAAUCAUUAAGCUUAAAUGUCAGUUCAAUUUGUAGUUUGAUGCUCUAAUAAAGUUAUUUUCAUGACUUUCACAUAAUAUUUCUGGUAGUUCACACAUUUCCAUUUCUUUGUGAUUAGCCAUUUGUUGCUUGUUUUUUCCCAUCUUACAAUAAUUCUGACAUCACCUUUGACUCUUGUAAUAAGGGCAUGGCAUUUGUAUACUGAAGUAGGUACUCAUUCCAUAUUUUGCAGUCUUCCUUUGAGAAUGCCUGUUCAAAGAUCCUGGACAGACCGCUGUGGCCUCUGGGCCCAUACCAAUACAGCCUUUGAAACACUAGGGUGUUAUCUCAUUACAACACUGCACUGGCUGGCACAAUGCUGGACUGGAAUCUUGUGUCUAUUGAUUCAGGCACAGAGUUAAGAAAUACUCAAAACCUACAAGCUACUAAGGCUAAAACAGCACUAAAACAUGCCUAAAUUUCAUCACCACCAAGCCCCCUGUAGUCAACCAGUAGUGUAUAAUAUAAGCAAAUGCAGAUCAGUUCCAUCUGGCUGGUGCUACAAGUUCCUGCCUAAUACUGGGGAAAGGGAUGAAGCUCAAAUCACAGGCAUCUUCUUACAGAGGCCACAACAUUUGCUCAGUAAAGGGUUUCAUUGACAGUCCUGAUUAGUAUUGGGGUCCUUAGUAAAAUUCAUGCUUAUUUAUCCAUUUCAUUCACUGUAAUGACUGAAUAUCACUUUAUGAAUAUACUGUUUUAUAUAUUAGUUGGUGAAUAUUUGGAUUUUUCUCUACAUAUUGACUAUUUUGAAGAGUGUUGCUUUGAAAAUUGGUAGAAAGCUUUUGUUUGAACACUUCAGUUCAUUUGGUGAUAUACUUAUAGGUCAAAUCAAGUCAUAUAAUAAUUCUCUUUAGUUUACUGAGGAACCACAAAUUUCUUUCUACCAUGUCAGCAUAAUUUUCCAUUCCUAUUAAUAUGAGAAAAAUUCUAAUUUCUCAUAUACUUACCAAUAUUUAAUUCUCCUCUUUGAAGAGGAAAGCCACCUAAUGGGUAUAAUGAAGCAUCUGAUUUUGAUGUAGUUUUCACUUGACUAAGGAAAACUAAUUUUGAGUGCCUUUUCAGGUACAUGUCACUAUGUGUAUGUAUGCCUUAAAAUCUAAAGUUUAGAUGUCAAUGUCUUUUACUUUGUCCAUUAUUUAACUCAGUCUCCUUGGCUGUAGAAUUACUAUAUGCAUAAUUCCUACAUAUUUCAGAAUUUCUCAAUUUGCUGUUACUGAUUUGUUGGCCCAUUUCAUUUAUAAUCAAGAAAUAUGUGUGCAUGGUGAUUUAAAAUUUUAUUGUUGUUCUUGCUCUUUUUCUUCUGCUGUGUUUUAUAUUUAGCUUCAGUUUUGGGGAACAGGGUGGUGAUAUGUAGCUCAAGUUUACCUUGGCUUUCUGAGUGUGUACCUCAAGGCAUAUGACAUCAGAUUGGCAUGAAAAAUUAAGACUGGGUUUGUGGCUUAAUAUAUAGAUUUUCUUAGAAAAAUUUUAGGUGGAACAAUACUACAACCUUUGGGCAGAGGAGUAGUCUUGAUUUUUUAGGUCUGACUUAAUCUAUAAUAUUGAAGUCUUUUAUUUUGUAUUGGUCAGUUUUCUACUCAUUACUGAAAGUAAGAUAUUAUGUAUAUUAAUGUGGAACUGUCCUUUUCACCUUUCAGUUUUGUUAAUGGUUACUUAAUAUAUUUUGGAGAUUUGAAAUUUACAGCACUGGAAAUACUGUUCUGUUGCCUUAGUCAAUUGACUCUCUUAAUCCCCAUACACUAUUCCUUGUCUCCUCUAAGCAUCUCAUUUUUAAAGUGGCUACCACCAUUCCCCCAAGUCUGAAUACAGAUCUCUUGCUCCCUGCCCUAACUCACUUUGUGUUAAUUUGCAUAGAGACUUUCCCCUAUUCUUUCACUGUUGACCUGCUUUUUUUCCUGCUUACUUCUUUCCCUUUAGUGUAAUGCAUUUAAAGUGAUGGCUGACAAAAUGACAUUUGCUUUAAAUAGUUUGGAUUUUGUGUCUCUUAACUUUUUAUUUAUUUAUUUAUUUAUUUAUUUAUUUAUUUA